rnacentral:sRNA from 1 species
GGCUAUUUCAGCUUCACCCUAACGUUUG